rnacentral:lncRNA from 1 species
GGGCGAAAAGAACUUGGGGUACCUUAGGGAAGAGGAGAGAAAAGCCUUCAAUGAAAAUCCAAAAGCACCACGUGAAUCCCCUUUACGCAAUGAGUCUUUCUUGAUGAUCUCGAGGAGUUUUGAUGGUGGAAUAUCCAAAUCACCCUGGGGGGCGGAUGGAGAAACAGGAGGAGAGAGAGUCCCGGUGGUAAAAAGAAAAAUGAACAUGUAACUUCCUCGGGGUAAAUAUAAAUACCCACAAAGUUUCAAAAAUUUUCGGAAAAAGUUUCGAAAUGUUCUGCAACUUCCAGAAAUUUUCAAAAAAGUUUCGAAAUUUUUCGCACAUUCAGAAUUUUCCGAAAAAAUUUCCGGAAAAGUCCGCUCCCGUGGCUAAUUGCCAUUAGAUUUAAGUGGAAUUUGAUAUGGGAUAGAUUUGGAUGACUAUGGCAGUGAAAUCUAUAUGAGCA